rnacentral:rRNA from 1 species
AUUGAACGCUGGCGGCAGGCCUAACACAUGCAAGUCGAGCGGAUGAAGGGAGCUUGCUCCUGGAUUCAGCGGCGGACGGGUGAGUAAUGCCUAGGAAUCUGCCUGGUAGUGGGGGAUAACGUCCGGAAACGGGCGCUAAUACCGCAUACGUCCUGAGGGAGAAAGUGGGGGAUCUUCGGACCUCACGCUAUCAGAUGAGCCUAGGUCGGAUUAGCUAGUUGGUGGGGUAAAGGCCUACCAAGGCUACGAUCCGUAACUGGUCUGAGAGGAUGAUCAGUCACACUGGAACGGAGACACGGUCCAGACUCCUACGGGAGGCAGCAGUGGGGAAUAUUGGACAAUGGGCGAAAGCCUGAUCCAGCCAUGCCGCGUGUGUGAAGAAGGUCUUCGGAUUGUAAAGCACUUUAAGUUGGGAGGAAGGGCAGUAAGUUAAUACCUUGCUGCUUUGACGUUACCAACAGAAUAAGCACCGGCUAACUUCGUG